rnacentral:rRNA from 1 species
GCGUCAAAGCAUACCUUCUACUAAUACAAAACAUAAACACCACCUCCUGAGCCCCAACUGAGCAACUCUAUUCUUUAAUAGAAGAACUAAUGCUAAAACUAGUAAUAAGAGCCAGCUCUCCUUUUCACACCCAUCAAUCAGAAAUAGAUAAGCUACUGAAUAUUAAUCAAGCUUUCGAAAAAGUAAAUGACCCCCCCCCAAGAAAAACUCUAAACAUGUUUGUGACACCAACACAGGAGUGAAAAUAGGACAGAUUAAAAGCCCAACAAGGAACUCAGCUAAUAGAUUCCAACUGUUUACCAAAAACAUAGCCUUUAGCACUAUAAGUAUUAAAGGUCUCGCCUGCCCAGUGACUAUUUUAACGGCCGCGGUAUCCUAACCGUGCAAAGGUAGCGUAAUCAUUUGUCUCCUAAAUAGAGACUCGUAUGAACGGCUAACUGAGAAUCUAACUGUCUCCUAAAGCCAAUCAAUGAAACUGAUCUUUCAGUACAAAAGCUGAAAUAAACACAUAAGACGAGAAGACCCUGUGGAGCUUCAAAAAAACACUAUUUCCCCUACAAUAAACCCCACGGGCUAAAACCCAUAAGAUAAUAGUAAUUCUUUUUAGUUGGGGCGACUUUGGAAUAAAAAAAAACUUCCAUGUAAGGUUCCCCCCUAUCAAGGCUAACCAGCCAAAGUAUCUCUCUUUUUGACCCAGACACCUGAUCAAC